UAGAGGAGGUGCUAGGGGGAGGUGCUAGGAGGAGGUGCUAGGGGGAGGUGCUAGGGGGAGGUGCUAGAGGAGGUGCUAGAGGAGGUGCUGGAGGAGGUGCUAGAGGAGGUGCUAGGAGGAGGUGCUAGAGGAGGUGCUAGAGGAGGUGCUGAGGGGAGGUGCUAGAGGAGGUGCUAGAGGAGGUGCUAGAGGAGGUGCUAGAGGAGGUGCUAGGAGGAGGUGCUAGAGGGGAGGUGCUAGAGGAGGUGCUAGGAGGAGGUGCUGAGAGGAGGUGCUAGAGGAGGUGCUAGAGGAGGUGCUAGAGGAGGUGCUAGAGGAGGUACUAGAGGAGGUGCUAGAGGAGGAGCUAGAGGAGGUGCUAGAGGAGGAGCUAGAGGAGGUGCUAGAGGAGGUGCUAGAGGGGACUGUCUGCCCUUACCUUGCCUGCUCGUGGUGCUUGGCAGGCGGGAGGGCGCAGGGAGGCCUGGGCAGGCGGAGGCGUGCGGGGCAGCAGUACUGGUGGUACGUAGCGUGGCUGUUAGGAGGAAGACUGGAGUACAGAGCGGAGGAGGAGGAGGAGGAGGAGGAGGAGGGAGGGGUGGUGCUAGUAGGGUUGUUGGAGGGACGACAAGAGGUGGAGGAGGAGGAAUAAGACCUGACAGAGAAACAGAGAGAGAGAGAAGGAGGGAGAGAGAGAGAGAGAGAGAGAGGGAGAGGGAGAGGAAGAGAAGAGAGAACAAUAAAGUCAGGACAGAAACAGAGAAAGACAACAGACACAAGCACAUAGAAACACACACUGUUAGCACAGCUAGCACCGGCACACUUUCAGCAACCGCUAAGCACACGCUAUUAAUGGCAGCAUGUAGCCGUUAGCAUACUCUGUAGCUAGUAGUGUUAGCAUAAACAAAGCACAAUAAGUAGCAAAAAAGCACAAUUAGUAUAAGCAUUAAUCUAAGCUGAGCAUAGCAACGAGCAGAAUGUUAUGGUUAAUAGUGGCAUGAAUAUCUUACAGUUAAUAACAUAAGCAUCAUAAAUGACACGCAAGCAUUAGUAGUCUUACAGUUAGUUUGUUUUAACUUAAUUAUAAACUAUUUGUAUGAGCACACAACAAAAUGGCAAACAGUAUUAAUAUGCGAUCAGAGUGUCACCACAGUGGUUAGAGACGACAAUGAUGUUAGCUUCCGGUGAGCAUCACAGUCUCAGCCAUAGUAGCAUUAGCAGUUAGCAUUAGCGUCAAGCGGGACAUGUGUAGCCUCCGGUGGGCGGGGGAGGUGAGAUGACGGACACACAGAUAUAAUCAACUGUCUUAACGAGCAGAAGAGGAGGGAGAUGUUUGCUUUCACUUCCCAGGGAGCCGGCUUUCACCAGAGACAAGGGGCGUCCCCCCAUACUGGAUCCAACAGGGGUUAGCCACUUUGCUACCUGGUGUACCUUGCCUGGUGUCGGCUCUUCGGUCAGGAUUCAAACCCACAACCUCCAAUCCGCAAGUCACCCCACUAACCAUCACAGGACGAAGGGACACUGUUUGGAGGGCUGGGAUUUGUAGGGACUUAAAAUAUCUCUAUUCACACGGUGUGACCUUCAGCUGACCAAUCACAAGGGGCUAUAAAUAUCAGGGACUAUCAUUCACUAUAUUCUGGAGAUCCUUAAGGACAGCUUCAAGUUCAACCUCAAGAAUCUGUAUCGUCCCCGAGGUGGAAUAUAUUCCUGUUGAGAAAAGUAUAGCUGGACAGGCUAACUUAACUCUUCUUAAGCUAGGCUAAUUGAAUGCAGUUUUUGAUGAAUCAACUCACCAACGCUUAAGCUAGGCUCACUGACCAGAGCUUUAGAUAGGCUAACUGAACAGAGCUUUAGCUAGGCUAACUGACCAUAGCUUUAGCUAGGCUAACUGACCAGAGCUUUAACUAGGCUAACUGACCAGAGCUUUAGAUAGGCGGACUAACCAUAGCUUGAGCUAG
ensembl:lncRNA